rnacentral:rRNA from 1 species
UACGGAGGGAGCUAGCGUUAUUCGGAAUUACUGGGCGUAAAGCGCACGUAGGCGGCUUUGUAAGUUAGAGGUGAAAGCCUGGAGCUCAACUCCAGAAUUGCCUUUAAGACUGCAUCGCUUGAAUCCAGGAGAGGUGAGUGGAAUUCCGAGUGUAGAGGUGAAAUUCGUAGAUAUUCGGAAGAACACCAGUGGCGAAGGCGGCUCACUGGACUGGUAUUGACGCUGAGGUGCGAAAGCGUGGGGAGCGAACGGG